UGUAGUCAUAUGCUUGUCUCAAAGAUUAAGCCAUGCAGUCUAGUAUAAGCACUAUACGGUGAACUGCGAAUGGCUCAUUAAAUCAGUUAUCGUUUAUUUGAUAGUACCUUACUACAUGGAUAACCGUGGUAAUUCUAGAGCUAAUACAUGCUAAAAACCUCGACUUCGGAAGGGGUGUAUUUAUUAGAUAAAAAACCAAUGCCCUUCGGGGCUCCUUGGUGAAUCAUAAUAACUUAACGAAUCGCAUGGCCUUGCGCCGGCGAUGGUUCAUUCAAAUUUCUGCCCUAUCAACUUUCGAUGGUAGGAUAGUGGCCUACCAUGGUAUCAACGGGUAACGGGGAAUGGGGCGGGGGCGGCGGGCCGGGCGCGGGGCGCGGCGGG
rnacentral:rRNA from 1 species